CUGGGCUUGACAUGUAAUGGACAACAUGUGAAAGCAUGCGACUCUUCGGAGGCGUUACACAGGUGCUGCAUGGCCGUCGUCAGCUCGUGUCGUGAGAUGUUUGGUUAAGUCCAGCAACGAGCGCAACCCCUGUUGCCAGUUACCAGCACGUGAAGGUGGGGACUCUGGCGAGACUGCCCAGAUCAACUGGGAGGAAGGUGGGGACGACGUCAGGUCAGUAUGGCCCUUAUGCCCAGGGCUGCACACGUACUACAAUGCCCAGUACAGAGGGGGCCGAAGCCGCGAGGCGGAGGAAAUCCUAAAAACUGGGCCCAGUUCGGACUGUAGGCUGCAACCCGCCUACACGAAGCCGGAAUCGCUAGUAAUGGCGCAUCAGCUACGGCGCCGUGAAUACGUUCCC
rnacentral:rRNA from 1 species